rnacentral:rRNA from 1 species
GACGAACGCUGGCGGCGCGCUUAACACAUGCAAGUCGAGCGGAGCGGCGGACGGGUGAGUAACACGUGAGUAACCUGCAUUAGACAUUGGGAUAGCCUAGGGAAACCGGGAUUAAUACCAAAUGGUCUAAGAUGGACUCGCGUCCCAUUAGCUAGUUGGUAGGUAACGGGCCACCAAGGCGACGAUGGGUAGCCGGCCUGAGAGGGUGAACGGCCACUUUGGAACUGAGAAACGGUCCAAACUCUACGGGAGGCAGCAGUGGGGGAUAUUGCACAAUGGAGGGAGCUCUGAUGCAGCGACGCCGCGUGAACGAAGAAGGCUUUCGAGUCGUAAAGUUCUUUUAUAUGGGAAGCGGUACCAUAAGAAAAAGCCCCGGCUAACUACGUGCCAGCAGCCGCGGUAAUAC